rnacentral:rRNA from 1 species
UACGGAGGGUGCAAGCAUUGAUCGGAAUUACUGGGCGUAAAGGGCGCGUAGGCGGCCUGAAAAGUCAGAUGUGAAAUUCCGGGGCUCAACCCCGGAGCUGCAUUUGAAACUUUCAGGCUAGAGGACAGUAAGGGAAAACGGAAUUCCACGUGUAGCGGUGAAAUGCGUAGAUAUGUGGAAGAACACCGGUGGUGAAGACGGUUUUCUGUGCUGUAACUGACGCUGAGGCGCGAAAGCUAGGGGAGCAAAC